GCGGGGCGUGAGCCGCAGUGCCAACACGGGGGUGGGAAACCCACCCUUGUGGGGCCGCACCGACUGCUGCCGGUGCCCCCAAUUGGCCCCAUGCCAAAGGCACGAGGAGAUGCCUUUGUGGAAAGCACCAGGCUGUGCAGGCACAGUGUCACGUCCUCAUGUCCCCCCCUCCCUGCACCCAGCCGGCGCUGUGCUGAGCCGCGCACCUCCGGGGGAAGGGCUUUGUCCACACCAUUUCCAACGCAGCAUUGCACUGAUCCGAGUGCAGCACCUUGCAGCGAUGAGGGACCUGAGAAGUGGGAUGGAAGGAUGCUCCCACUGGCUCACGUAAAAGCAGGUGGUUUUGCUUCAGCAAGCUGGCUGUGCUGAGCUCAUCAGCAGGCUGGCUCGGCUCAUUGCGAGGUCUUUGAACUUGAGCUGCUGGGGUAAGGAGAUGUAUUGCCGAGUGACAGAGAAGAGCUAGGGAGUGCUGUCACUCCAAGAGGUGUCAGGGGAAAUCCUCAGAUUUGUCCCAUAGGUUUGUGGGAGUGCUUGUCCAGGAAGGCAGCGCGUCCUGGAAGUCCAGCUAAGUUCCUCUAUGGCAACGUACUCGGCACAGAAAAUAAGCAAGGGGAGCUGGAAGCUGUGGUGCGCUUGAAAAACUUUGAUCUUAUUGCCAUCAUGGAAAAAUGGUGAGAUGAUUCACAUAACUGGAACACCACCAUUGAGGGCUGUAAGCUUUUUAGAUGGGGUAGGCAAGGUAGGAGGGGUGAGGGAGUUGCCCACAGAAUGGGCAGACUGCGAGGAGCUGCCUCUGAGAAGCAGUCAGGAGCAGGUUGAGAGCCUGUGGAUUAAAAUUAGGGAUGGGACCAAUAAAGGGCAGCUGGUGGUCGGAGUCUACUGCAGUGCACCUGAUGAAGAGCAGCCUGUUGGUGAGGCGUUCCUGCUUCGGGUACAAGAAGUUUCACGCUCACAGGCUCUCAUCCUGAUGGGGGAUUUCAAGCAGCCGGAUAUCCGCUAGGAAGACAACGCCGCGAGCUGCAUGAGAUCCAGGAUUGCUGGGAUCCGUUGGUGAUCAUGGACUCACCAAGGUUGGGAAAGACCUCCAUGAUCAUCCAGACCAACCAUCCGCCUAUCACAAAGAAUUCCCACUGAACCAUGUCCUCAGUGCAACACUAAACGUUUAUGGAACACCCCUAGGGAUGGUGACUCCCCCACCUCCGUGUGCAGCCCAUUCCAGCGCCUGACCGCUCUUUUAGAGAAGUUUUUCCUAAUGUGCAAGCUGAAUGUCUCCUGCAACUUGAAGCCAUUGCCUCUCGUCUGUGGUUGUCCAACCUUCUGGUCGCCUGACCUGCAUUAAGUGAACAGAAAUUGCCAUGGGCUGCAUAGAAAAUAUGUAACACAUUUAACGUAUAGAAGUUACAAAACUUAUUUUUUUAAAUGUAUUUUUAUUAAAACAUAGAAAUCAAGGAGCAACAGAAACACUGUACUGGUGGGAUGUUGGGCCUCGUUUCUGUGAAGCGAACGCUUCAGGCUCUUCCCUGGCAGUGGCUGCCAUUCUCAGCGAGUUCUCAUGGUGUUCGUUGGAGAUCUGUGAUGAAAUAUUACUCUUCCUGUGCUUCGUCCUUAACAGUCCUUGUUCACAAAUGUACGCAGCGCCAAAAAGUGACGGCGUGAAUUAGACGUAACUGAAGUGAGGGUAAGAGAGGGCUUACGAAAGUCUGGUAAAGAGGGCAGAUUUUUCUUUGAACUGAAUGUCUGAUUGCAACUCAAUGCAUUCCAUGUGAAAAUUUGCAAAUGAUGUAUUCGUGUCAACCGAAAAUGGAGUUACAAAUAUACAGGAAAAUGAUGUUUUUUUUUGAAA